GUCAGGAAUUGCGAUACCUGCUGCCUUGUUUUCAUUGCCAAGAAUUGUUUCUGCUAUUCUAGGUCUCUUCUGCUUCCAAAUGAAUUUUAGGAAUGUUUGCUGUAGACACCACCUCAAGUAGCACAGGAGGAAGGGAGCAGAGCUCAGCUUUCCAGCAAAGGGCACCAUCUCUGGGUUUUGUGCGUGUGUGUGUGUGUGUGUGUGUGUGUGUGUGUGUAUAUGUGUGAAGGCUCCUGUCUCUGGAGAAUUGAAAAUCACAGCAGGCAAUCUGGAGAAUCAGAUGGGAGAAAUGGAAUAGGAGCUUGGAACACAGUGUACAAGGCAUAAACCCAGUUAUUUGAUUUGAGGUAUAAAAAGACUGUCAGCUUGGGAAGCCCAGGGUAAAGAGCCUCAAUUGCUUUAUUAACUGAAUGGACAAGUGAGAGGUAAUAAAGUGACCUCAGGGAACAGGCUGGUGCUUGAGGGUUCAGGCCUGGGGCCCAGAGAUCUUGACGGCAGCCAGGGUGGUCCCAGGCACAGUGCAGUGGCCCAUCCACCGCUCCUAUCAAUCCGCAGACAGGGAGCUAAAACGAAGCCACUAGAUGGGCAGCGCAAUCAGAAGGGAAGGUGUGUGUGUGUGUUUGUGUGUACAACAACUUCCUUUCUAUACCAUGUUUGGCUCGCAGUUAGAUGAGGGUGGGAUUCUGGCCUUCAGUAGAUGCAGCCCUGCAGUGGGUAUGUGAGGCUGCUGUGGAAUGCACUACAGGGAUGCCAUGAGGGAUUAUUUACACUGGUGUUUUGGAAAGCUGGGGACUUUUGGGGUGAAAUUGGCACUGCAUAAGAACAACUGUGUGUAUCAAUAGAUGCUUAAUGUUUUUACAGAGAUUAAUAAUAAAGUCAAACAGGAGCAAAAGACAGGCUUCUUAGGGUUUGCCCAAUGAAACUUGGACCAGAGGCCCUCUGGUCCAUCUGAUGCCAGGAUGUCCCUGACCUUUGUUACAUUCAUUCUUCUCUAUACUCAGGAUGCCCUGUGAAAACUGAUGGAAGCCAGUAGGCUAUCUUUGGAGCCAUUAUUUUCUGUCCCUUCAUUUUGAUUCCAUUCCUUUCAGGCACUCAGUUUCUACCCGUAUGUUUUGCAUCGUGCAUUCUGGCCCAGUCCUGAUACCUGCCUCCAAAGUUUUGCACUAAGAGAAUUAAGCCUUUGUGACCUUGUUUCCAAUUCUGGCUGGUCUUUAAUCUGUUUCUAUGUUUGUGUCCUUCUAAGACAUUUGAUCCUGAAACCCAGGUUGGCCCAGUACGUAUCUAAUUCAAAUUGUGCUCUUGGUUAUAGCAUUACCAAAGGCAUAUCUCAAGGCCGAAGUUAAACCUCUGCUGGAAGAAGAUGGAAAUGUUCAGAGAAAAAUAUUGCAGACUUGGUCUAUAUGAGUAACUUCUGAGGAACAGAGUGUUUAAAGAAUAUCUGCUUUUGACAAAAACUUGAGGCUCAGGGCCAGAACAUUUUUUGUGAAAUAGCAGGCCCAUUUUCUAAGUAUAAAGGCAAAACAGCUUGUUAAUAACACUAUCAGGUUCUUGAAAUCUGUGUAAAAUAUGGUUCAUUGGUUCAAAUAAAGCUGUUAUAAAAUGGCACUGCUCUUUGCCUUCUGCAACUCUGCUGGUAGAUAGGUCCAUUCUUGUUUCUUGCCAUUUCUCAGAUUAUGUGUUUUCCCCAAACUCAGAACCAUGACCAAUACGCAUGUCGGGUGAUUCAGUCCAAACAGAUCUCCUUUCAGACAAGAGAGGCAUUCAAAACACUAAAUUAAAUAGGCAAGUCCUGUGCCUCUGAUAAGCCCAAAUCAUUCCUCUGGCAAUAUGUUUCUCUCCACCACUGAUUUGUUGUCUUUUGCAUUAUUGGACUAUUUUGGCUAUAUGUAUAUAUGUAUCCAUUUCAGCCCCAAGCCUCCUAUGCUAAGACCCCAUAAAAAAGGAAGGAAAGUUAUAACUGAAGUUUUACAAUUAAUAUUACUGUCCUGACUUAAACAUAUUUUUGGCUAUACCAAUUCUCUAUUAAAAUAUUCAAGAAGUUGGUGAAUAUUUUUGGAGAGAAGAUAAUUAUGGAGGACUCUGUGUUUUUUUUAAUAUAUGGGGUCCAAACCAGUUGAACAGAUGAUCUGAUAAAGGCACUACCCUGCUUCUGAGGGUACCUUGUGCUUUCAACUCUUGCUGGGUUGAUCCUUUUUUGAAGCUGACAGCCCCCUGGAAAUGUGAGGAAUAGAUAACACAUCUAUACUUAGGUUACACUCAGAGUAUAUUUAGCCUGUACCAGACACACUUGAGCGAGAGCUUUCCCCAAAGAUUAACUGCCAGCUGGUGUUGAUGAUACUCAGGGCUUCCAAGCACAGCGGGUGGGCUUUUAUUUCCAGGAAAUGGUUGAUGUCUUAAUCAUAAUGACUUCACUGAGCUGCCUUUGCUGUUGAAAAUAGAACUUAUAUUUGGGAAUCUUUGUUUAAUGGAAGUUUCUUCCUUGGAUGCCAGUCAGUCUAUUAUAUUUGGAAAGGAGUAAAAUAGCUGGCACAUUCCCCUUGGGGUGGUAAGGAGGACAGUUUGCAAGGGCUGGUGUGGUUCUUCCUGACCCCAUGAAUGGGGACAAUGUCCAAAUUCAGAGUAAUGGACACCCUCAGAAUUUCCCAGGAACUUCAUGGUAGGGUGGCAACGUGGAAAAAUACACUAGCUGAAACUGAAAUUUCAACCAGUGGAGAUGCAUAUUUGUGAGGGUUGCCUAAAGGUCAAAAACUACAACAAUAACCCAAAAAACUACUCUGGAAACCCCGUAAGACUAAAAAAGCAUAAAACUUUGGGCAUAAUACUUAGUCUUUUCACAGAGGAUUUCUCCUCUGAGUGAUGUGCUCAGUCAGGUGAGCUAUAGUUGUAGACGGUUGUGGGACACUUGAAGGAUACCAUGACUAGAUACAGAAGAAAAGCCAUUGACUGUGAACACAGGCCUCUGUGUCUUCAUCCUUUCUCCAGGAUCCAUGUUCAGCACUUGUGUGCCUCUCCUCCAGUACUGAUUGCUUAUGGUUAGAACCCAACCUCCUUGGCAGGUGCCUGUACUGUAUACCAUUUGUUAAAUAUUUUGAAAAUCAGCUCCACAUGGCAGGAACUGAGUUCUGAAGAGUAGCGUUUUAAGGAAUGAGGAUGGUUGCAGAAGUGACUCUCCUAGAUGGAAAGUCUCAGUCUGACAGCUGUCAACAAGGUGGGGAUAUGAUGGUGAAGGAGAAUUGAAUGGACCGUCCAAGCUAGGAACCGGUGGUUCUGAGUAUUUUAAUGCCUUUGUUCAAGCAAAAAAGGUCUAAGCAUAAAAAACAUGGUGACGUGGGAAGCUCAGGGAAAUGAGCAUGAGCUGAAAAGAGACAAGGCUAGUUUCAGGAAACGGAGGAGAACGCUGAGGCUGUGAGGCCAGUAGUGUGUCUGACGAGCAUGAUAAGCAGGGAUGGAAUGUGAAUGGCUGGCUGCAACUGGUCGCCAGUCGUGUGGCAGGUUCAGCUGGCUGCUGUGGUGGCAGACACAGCCUGAGUGUCCUGCCCUCUUAACUUUUUCUCUUCCUCCUGUCUGGCAUCCCCACUAGGGGUCUGGCCUCAGCGGGAGCUUGUCUUGAGGUGUGCUGAGACUGAGACUCCUCUCCAAGUCCUCAUUUUGUCAGUGCUGAAAACUCUGAAGGGGAAAAGUUCAAGAAGUCAAACUUGCUUUCUACUGUGGCUCUGGUAUAUUGCCAGUUCUUCAACUUUCAAAUGCGCAAUGUGUAAAAAAAAAAAUCCAGCAUACGAAAACAUUGCCUUUUCCUAUCAAUUCGCUAUGUUUCCAACAGGCAACAAAAUGUAACAGGACUUCUGAAAAUGCUAGGCAUUGGGCUUCAAGAUGUGGUUUCUUUCCUUGAGCAGGUCAACCGUCUACUUUAAGCUGAGAUGUGAUGUAACACUAGAUGUUAUUCCUUUCCUUCACACCAGCACAAUGGGCUAGUGAGAUGGGCAUAAAGUGAACUUGGAUAACAUGAAAAUUCUCCUCCCAGCAAAUCACAUGUGGCUACUUGAGAGUGGGUGUUAUCCAUGAAGAUCUGCAUGGUCUCUUACCUUUAGGCACGCUUUAGGUUUCACCCUUCUGAUGUUGUUUGGAGAGGUGAGAGGAGACAUCUCUUGCUUCCUGGAAAGGAUGUAUGCUGUGAUUAAGGAUUUUCAAGUUGUAGUAUGUAUGUAGCCAGUUUUCAUAAUAUAUUGCCCUGGUAAUAGACCAAAGACACACAUUCAGGUGGUCUGAAAGUCCCUGGAAAAUUGACGGUUCUUUCGCAGAAGCGAAACUCAGUCUUCUCCAAAAAGGUUGAGGUGGACAGGGCUGGGAUUGGACAAAUCACUCUGAGCAGAGGACCAGCACUGUGAGUUCUUGUCAUUCUCCAGUGGAGUUGGAGAGAUCACUAUUGAAGCAAACAGCCUACAUCAUAGUCUCAUCUUGUGACUUUUUUGUGCUAGGUGUAAACUUCAUUCGCAGAGGCAGAAUCUGUGUCAUGGCAUGUGGAAAGAGACUUUCUCUCUUUAUCUGUACCUCAGACUAAGCCCUAAAAAGCUAUAGGCAAUGAGCCAAAAAGUAGCUCAAUAUUCAUUUCCCAAAGGAACAGACUUCAUUUCUGGGAAGAAGAGGACUUGUUCUUCAAACAGCUACCACCCAUCAUCUAAGUUUGUCUUAUAAACCAGAAGAGUGGGAUUCAUUGCAUGAGUUGUUUCAGUGGAAAUUCAUUGAAGUAAAGUCAGUUAUAUGUCUUACCCUCAGGAGAAAGAAAAGGAGGUGAAAAAGACGUUGGUUUCUUUGCACUCUCUCAUUAGUCAAACAAAAAUGGUGGAAUAAAACCCACAAUGGCUUCUUGUAGUCUUUGUGGUUGUCUACUAGAAGAGAUGAACAUUUCACAGUUUCUAGCUGAAUGCCUCAUGGGUUUCAGAAACUUAUUUGCUUGCCUUGGGCUGCUGUAAGAGCACAGAGAUCACUAGAAAAGUUUACAGGUGUCCUGUGGAAAAGUCUGAAGGAGACAGAUUGAGAAGAACAGCUCACAGCAGCAAGGCAAGAAGAACAGGGUAGUGGCUGAACAAAGCAUACUUCCACUUCUUUUGGGGGGCAAGUAUAUACCCCUCAAGCUAUGCCAUGGGAAACAUGACAAGCUAACAUGGGAAAGGACUCGGAAUGAAGCUGUCUUGAAAGAAUGUCUGUUGGGGAGAAGGGUGUUCAGAGGCGUACUGCCAGGAAGAGCGGCUGUCCAGGGUGGGGGCCACAAGAGCUUGGCCAUGUGAAGCAUUGUUUGGACUAGGCACAGUGCCACAAGAAGUCCCCAGGGUGGUCUUCAGCUCCCAUAGCUGCUCCUUCCACACAAAAAUACAGCCAGGAUUUUUAUGAAAGAUUCCCUCAAAAAAACCAAGAAAGCAUCGAGCACUGUACCACUCAAGUAAAAAUUGUUUUUCUCUCUCUUGUCCCUUUUUUGCCUGGAGAGCCAGAAGCACACACUGGGUAGAAAGAAGAAUGGAAAGAGGUGUCAAGAGAGAGAAACGGCAGCAACUCCUCCCCACAUGCUGAUUGCCAAGCCAGAAGUUGAGACUGAGCUGGAAGGAGAAGUUUUAAUUAGAUCCUUAACUAAGAUUUUGGUUUAGAAUGGUCUAGAAUGGACUUUUUUUUUUCAUUCCCAAAGCUAGAACAAACCUUUAGUGCUUAAAACUGACUCAAAAAGGAAUGGAACCUGUUCAGUUCAUUGGCAGAAGGUCACAAAACCACCCCCUGAUUAUAUCACAACUGGCUAAACUCUGUAUAAACCUGAUUUAAAAAAAUAUAUAUUCCAAAAGUAUCAGUAUAACUAAUAGCUAUCUUGGCUUUCUCUGAAGGGGGCAGAAGCAUAAUGCUUUUCAAGGCAAAAGUAUCAUGGGGAAGACCUAGUCCAGAGCAUCAUGUCCUUCCCCAAGCCAAGAGAAAGCUCUUCUCUCUUGGGGUGACCAAUCUAGUGUUUGCUUAUCCUUUUUUCUCUGUAGAAAGGAUUCAUGUUAUAGGUUCAACUCUACUUCCUAAUAGGAAGAUGGUCAGUUAUAAGCGAACUAUACCCUUGGGAACUCUUCUGAUACCUUAAACUUAAUGCCCUUCAGAAGAAUCCAGAAAUAUAUUUCCAUCAUAUAUAUUUAUGCUAAGAAUCAAAAACAGUUCUUUUCAGUUUGACCACCCAGCUGCCUGCAUGGUAUAAGAGAAGCGCAGAGAGUGUCUUCCCAGCUUUCAAAAGUAGAAAAUGUUAGCAAUUGGAGGAUUCACUGCCAAGAAAAGACCAAGGAAUUAUGCUAAAGAAUGUAUGAAAUCCAAAGAUGAACAGAGAAGAUGUGAACAUAUCACGAGAUGUCCUAAAAAUCUCUACAGAAAAUUGAAUUUACCUGAGAAGUAGACAUAUCAGAGGAAAACCAGCAGAAAUACUCUUGUGCAAAAACACAAGAAUAAAUAUUUCUCAAGACUCUUCUUUGUUAAUACUUCAGUGAACUGCAAGAGCAGCAAUAAAGAAUAUGGACAUGAGGCAGAAAAUUAGAAGAUCUUUUCUGGAAAAGAUGACCAGAUUUCCCCAGAAAAACACUCUUCCUCAUCUAGUUAGACCUACUAGUCAGCCCUACUAGUCAGAUAAUCAACAAUUAGCAGCGCUCUGAAAAAGGAUUCUAAUAAGAAGUGGAAUGAGAGUAAAGCAUUCUGAAGGGAGCUGCAUGAAAAAAAUCUUCAAAUAAUAUCUUCAGAGA